UACGGAGGGGACUAGCGUUGUUCGGAAUUACUGGGCGUAAAGCGCACGUAGGCGGAUUUGUAAGUCAGGGGUGAAAGUCCAGGGCUCAACCCUGGAAUGCCGGUGGAUACUGCCCGGGCUAGAGUCCGGAAGAGGCGAGUGGAAUUCCUGGUGUAGCGGUGAAAUGCGCAGAUAUCAGGAGGAACACCGAUGGCGAAGGCAGCUCGUUGGGACGGUACUGACGCUGAGACGCGAAAAGCGUGGGGGAGCAAAACAGG
rnacentral:rRNA from 1 species